rnacentral:rRNA from 2 species
UGCCUGGCGGCACUAGCGCGGUGGUCCCACCUGACCCCAUGCCGAACUCAGAAGUGAAACGCCGUAGCGCCGAUGGUAGUGUGGGGUCUCCCCAUGCGAGAGUAGGGAACUGCCAGACAU